AGAGUUUGAUCCUGGCUCAGGAUGAACGCUGGCGGCGUGCUUAACACAUGCAAGUCGAACGGGAAACCUUUUAAAGAAGCUUCGGCAAAUUUAGCUGGUUUCUAGUGGCGGACGGGUGAGUAACGCGUGGGUAACCUGCCUUGUACAGGGGGAUAACAGUCAGAAAUGACUGCUAAUACCGCAUAAGCGCACAGGACCGCAUGGUCCAGUGUGAAAAACUCCGGUGGUAUAAGAUGGACCCGCGUUGGAUUAGCUGGUUGGUGGGGUAACGGCCUACCAAGGCGACGAUCCAUAGCCGGCCUGAGAGGGUGAACGGCCACAUUGGGACUGAGACACGGCCCAGACUCCUACGGGAGGCAGCAGUGGGGAAUAUUGCACAAUGGGGGAAACCCUGAUGCAGCGACGCCGCGUGAAGGAAGAAGUAUCUCGGUAUGCAAACUUCUAUCAGCAGGGAAGAGAUUGACGGUACCUGACUAAGAAGCCCCGGCUAACUACGUGCCAGCAGCCGCGGUAAUACGUAGGGGGCAAGCGUUAUCCGGAUUUACUGGGUGUAAAGGGAGCGUAGACGGAUGGACAAGUCUGAUGUGAAAGGCUGGGGCUCAACCCCGGGACUGCAUUGGAAACUGCCCGUCUUGAGUGCCGGAGAGGUAAGCGGAAUUCCUAGUGUAGCGGUGAAAUGCGUAGAUAUUAGGAGGAACACCAGUGGCGAAGGCGGCUUACUGGACGGUAACUGACGUUGAGGCUCGAAAGCGUGGGGAGCAAACAGGAUUAGAUACCCAGGUAGUCCACGCGGUAAACGAUGAAUGCUAGGUGUCGGGUGACGAAGUCAUUCGGUGCCGCCGCAAACGCAUUAAGCAUUCCACCUGGGGAGUACGUUCGCAAGAAUGAAACUCAAAGGAAUUGACGGGGACCCGCACAAGCGGUGGAGCAUGUGGUUUAAUUCGAAGCAACGCGAAGAACCUUACCAAGUCUUGACAUCCCUCUGACCGACUCAUAACCGAGUCUUUCCUUCGGGACAGAGGAGACAGGUGGUGCAUGGUUGUCGUCAGCUCGUGUCGUGAGAUGUUGGGUUAAGUCCCGCAACGAGCGCAACCCCCAUCCCCAGUAGCCAGCAGUUCGGCUGGGCACUCUGUGGAGACUGCCAGGGAUAACCUGGAGGAAGGCGGGUAUGACGUCAAAUCAUCAUGCCCCUUAUGAUUUGGGCUACACACGUGCUACAAUGGCGUAAACAAAGGGAAGCGAACCUGCGAGGGUGGGCAAAUCCCAAAAAUAACGUCCCAGUUCGGACUGUAGUCUGCAACCCGACUACACGAAGCUGGAAUCGCUAGUAAUCGCGGAUCAGAAUGCCGCGGUGAAUACGUUCCCGGGUCUUGUACACACCGCCCGUCACACCAUGGGAGUCAGUAACGCCCGAAGUCAGUGACCUAACCGCAAGGAAGGAGCUGCCGAAGGCGGGACCGAUGACUGGGGUGAAGUCGUAACAAGGUA
rnacentral:rRNA from 1 species